rnacentral:rRNA from 2 species
GUGCUAUACAUGCAAGUCGAGCGAACUGAUUAGAAGCUUGCUUCUAUGACGUUAGCGGCGGACGGGUGAGUAACACGUGGGCAACCUGCCUGUAAGACUGGGAUAACUCCGGGAAACCGGAGCUAAUACCGGAUAACAUUUUCUCUUGCAUAAGAGAAAAUUGAAAGAUGGUUUCGGCUAUCACUUACAGAUGGGCCCGCGGUGCAUUAGCUAGUUGGUGAGGUAACGGCUCACCAAGGCAACGAUGCAUAGCCGACCUGAGAGGGUGAUCGGCCACACUGGGACUGAGACACGGCCCAGACUCCUACGGGAGGCAGCAGUAGGGAAUCUUCCGCAAUGGACGAAAGUCUGACGGAGCAACGCCGCGUGAGUGAUGAAGGCUUUCGGGUCGUAAAACUCUGUUGUUAGGGAAGAACAAGUACAAGAGUAACUGCUUGUACCUUGACGGUACCUAACCAGAAAGCCACGGCUAACUACGUGCCAGCAGCCGCGGUAAUACGUAGGUGGCAAGCGUUAUCCGGAAUUAUUGGGCGUAAAGCGCGCGCAGGCGGUUUCUUAAGUCUGAUGUGAAAGCCCACGGCUCAACCGUGGAGGGUCAUUGGAAACUGGGGAACUUGAGUGCAGAAGAGAAAAGCGGAAUUCCACGUGUAGCGGUGAAAUGCGUAGAGAUGUGGAGGAACACCAGUGGCGAAGGCGGC